CCUACGGGUGGCAGCAGUGAGGAAUAUUGGUCAAUGGACGAGAGUCUGAACCAGCCAAGUAGCGUGAAGGAUGACUGCCCUAUGGGUUGUAAACUUCUUUUAUAUGGGAAUAAAAUGUUCCACGUGUGGGAUUUUGUAUGUACCAUAUGAAUAAGGAUCGGCUAACUCCGUGCCAGCAGCCGCGGUAAUACGGAGGAUCCGAGCGUUAUCCGGAUUUAUUGGGUUUAAAGGGAGCGUAGGUGGAUUGUUAAGUCAGUUGUGAAAGUUUGCAGCUCAACCGUAAAAUUGCAGUUGAAACUGGCAGUCUUGAGUACAGUAGAGGUGGGCGGAAUUCGUGGUGUAGCGGUGAAAUGCUUAGAUAUCACGAAGAACUCCGAUUGCGAAGGCAGUUCACUGGACUGCAACUGACACUGAGGCUCGAAAGUGUGGGUAUCAAACAGGAUUAGAUACCCGUGUAGUC
rnacentral:rRNA from 1 species